rnacentral:rRNA from 1 species
CGCCGGCGACCGGCGCACGGGUGGAGUAACACGUAUGCAACCUACGGCCGGUGACAGAUGGAUAACCGGGAGAAAUCCCGCCUAAUACAACAUAAUGCCGGGAGGGGACAUCCCCUGCCGGCCAAAGGGGCGACCCCGGUCACGGAUGGGCAUGCGGCGCAUUAGGUAGUUGGUGGGGCAACGGCCCACCAAGCCGACGAUGCGUAGGGGUUCUGAGAGGAAGGUCCCCCACAUUGGAACUGAGACACGGUCCAAACUCCUACGGGAGGCAGCAG